UCAGAACGUCGUGAGACAGUUUGGUCCCUAUCUGCCGUGGGUGUUGGAAACUUGAGAGGAUCUGUCCUUAGUACGAGAGGACCGGGAUGGACAUACCUCUGGUGGACCUGUUGUGGCGCCAGCCGCAUUGCAGGGUAGCUAUGUAUGGACGGGAUAACCGCUGAAUGCAUCUAAGCGGGAAACCCACCUCAAAACCAGGUUUCCCUUGAGAGCCGUUCUAGACUAGGACGUCGAUAGGCCAGGUGUGGAAGCGCUGCGAAGCG
rnacentral:rRNA from 1 species